rnacentral:snoRNA from 1 species
AAGAUCAUGCUUCAUAGGAUCAUUUCUAUAGGCUGAUCGCCGAGUUUCAACCGUAAACUCGGAACACCCUCAACCACGAUGAGAGUCGUAGGGUCUCCACCUGAGCGCGAAGCCGGUCAGGUGACUUGGGUU